UACCAGACUCCUACGGGAGGCAGCAGUCGGGAAUAUUGCGCAAUGGAGGAAACUCUGACGCAGUGACGCCGCGUAUAGGAAGAAGGUUUUCGGAUUGUAAACUAUUGUCGUUAGGGAAGAUACAAGACAGUACCUAAGGAGGAAGCCCCGGCUAACUAUGUGCCAGCAGCCGCGGUAAUACGUAGGGGGCAAGCGUUAUCCGGAUUUACUGGGUGUAAAGGGGGCGCAGACGGCGAUGCAAGCCAGGAGUGAAAGCCCGGGGCCCAACCCCGGGACUGCUCUUGGAACUGCGUGGCUGGAGUGCAGGAGGGGCAGGCGGAAUUCCUGGUGUAGCGGUGAAAUGCGUAGAUAUCAGGAGGAACACCGGUGGCGAAGGCGGCCUGCUGGACUGCAACUGACGUUGAGGCCCGAAAGCGUGGGGAGCAAACAGGAUUAGAUACCCCAGUAA
rnacentral:rRNA from 1 species